rnacentral:rRNA from 1 species
GAUGAACGCUGGCGGCGUGCCUAAUACAUGCAAGUCGAGCGAACGGACGAGAAGCUUGCUUCUCUGAUGUUAGCGGCGGACGGGUGAGUAACACGUGGAUAACCUACCUAUAAGACUGGGAUAACUUCGGGAAACCGUAGCUAAUACCGGAUAAUAUUUUGAACCGCAUGGUUCAAAAGUGAAAGACGGUCUUGCUGUCACUUAUAGAUGGAUCCGCGCUGCAUUAGCUAGUUGGUAAGGUAACGGCUUACCAAGGCAACGAUGCAUAGCCGACCUGAGAGGGUGAGCGGCCACACUGGAACUGAGACACGGUCCAGACUACUACGGGAGGCAGCAGUAGGGAAUCUUCCGCAAUGGGCGAAAGCCUGACGGAGCAACGCCGCGUGAGUGAUGAAGGUCUUCGGAUCGUAAAACUCUGUUAUUAGGGAAGAACAUAUGUGUAAGUAACUGUGCACAUCUUGACGGUACCUAAUCAGAAAGCCACGGCUAACUACGUG